rnacentral:misc_RNA from 1 species
UUUAACAUUAAUUGAUUGUUUUACACUUUAGAAUAAAAUAUUUUUUGGCGGCAGGUCCUCUCCCACCAGGUCCAAGAAUUGUAAUGAUGAUGAAGAUGGGGAGAGAGACCCCCAGAAUAUUACCCCGAAGGCAACUUUUACUCUGGGGGACUCUCCCAUUCGAAAUCCGAAAGUGGCGGGAUCCUGGUGAGAGAAACUUUCUCUUUUAAUUCGUCUUUGGAGCACUCUGCUGGCCGAUUUGUCCCAUGGUCGUCUUGGCGGGUGAGUUGGUAUUUUUUCCCAUCAGGUGGCAACUCCUUGUGUCAGGUUGGAGGCGGGUGGCAGCACUCGUUGGGAAAAAAGGACGUCGACUUGAGGACAACAUUGGAGGGCAGUGGAUUUGGCGUGAGACCUGUAUGAAGCAUCGUCGUGUGGGUGGACAUUGUGUGGCGUCUUCGUGUACAGGUGCAGGUGAGUCCAGAGGAUGUCGUCAGGAUGGGUAAAAUAUAUCACAGGAAUAAGAAGAAGACAUGUAAACAAAGAUUUCUGGACAGGAUUUAGGAGCAUAUCACAUAGAUUGAACAGAUCCCAGGUGUUGAUGGCGAUGGAUGGCCUUUUCGCAUGUAUCCUUACAUGGUCUGCGCGUUCGAUAGGAAGUUCGUCGAGUGGUGGGUACGAAGUGCAGAGAGUUAUAUUUUCGAGUGGGAGCAGACCGCGUCAUCUUUAUCUUCGCAGGGCAGGCAGUGGAUCGUGUGAGUAAGGAUUUACGUAUUUUCCGUGUCCAUCUGUGAGUCAGGAAGAACGUCGUCAGGUACUUGUAGGAGAGAGCCCAGAGAUCGUGCCAGAGAUGUCCGUAUGCAUGGUGUAGGAGCGUGGGCUUUCCUAUUGGCAUCUUUUGCUGGGAACGCGGUUCGUCCUUGUGUCGUGGAGGAGGCGGUUUGCAGCAUUCAUUAUGGAAAGGGUAAACAUGCAGGAAUUUAUCUAAUUUGGUCUAGUCAGGUACGGAUACAUGUGAGUCCAGUGGAUGUCGUCAGGUUGGGUAAAAAUUUAUCCCAGGAAGAUAUGUAAACAAAGAAGAUUUCUAGACGGGAUUUUAGACGUAUUAAAAAAAACAGCAUUGAGCAGGUCCACAGUGACGGUGGCAGGGGAAGGCGUUUGACGGCUGGGUGUUGUUCCAUGGUCCUGAGUUUAUUUGUCCUUUCUCCUUACGGGUUCUGCACGUUCGUAGAGGGGUUCGUCAGGCUAGCAACGUGUUCAUGUAGAGUCAACAGGUUUUUUUUCCGAUAUAAGUGAGCGUCAUCAAGGAAAAAUUUUUUUGUCUGAGUGUCUGGGAUGGACUAAAUUUGGAUCAGGUCGCCGGCCAUUAGCAUGUCCAUUAGGGAUACACUACUGCCAAGAGAAGAGGCACCCAUUUCCUUGUCAACCGAUUCUUCUAGAGGUUACCCAGCUUCUCCCACAGCUUCGCUUGGAAACUUGUAUCCUGUUUUAGACGUUCAUCUACUUGCUGUUGCUGCAACUUUAUGUUUUCGGAGAUAUUAGUAAUAUUCUGCAUGACUUUGUGCAAAUUGUUAUCAGAAUAAGAGGCCAUUGUGGGCCGUUGUUGACCAA